CCUUCCAGACUCUGUAUACGAAGCAAAGCGAAGAACCCGCGAGAGUGGAAGAGCUCCGGAGAACAUCUACGCUGUGUGUCGAUGCACCUUACAAGAGAAUAAGACCAGCAUCAAGGCAACUGCAAUGAAGCAUCAAGAAAGACAUGAGCAGGCCAGCCACCCUGAGACUGAUAAUUCAUGAGAAGACUUUUCUGUCAAAGUGGAUGGUGAGCAAAAAUGGUGGCCACGUUUUGGAGAAGCACCUGGGUUUUGCAGAUGGCUAUGUAUUCUUUGGCUGCUUGUCUUUUUUCCCCCAUUAUGUUUCUGUUGCCUAAAGAUUCUUUGUGAGGAUGAAU